rnacentral:rRNA from 1 species
GUGUCAGCAGCCGCGGUAAUACGGAGGAUGCAAGCGUUAUCCGGAAUUAUUGGGCGUAAAGCGUCCGCAGGUGGUUUUACAAGUCUGCUGUCAAAGCGUGGAGCUUAACUCCAUAAAGGCAGUGGAAACUGUGAGACUAGAGUUCGGUAGGGGUUACGGGAAUUCCCAGUGUAGCGGUGAAAUGCGUAGAUAUUGGGAAGAACACCAGCGGCGAAAGCGCGUAACUGGGCCUGAACUGACACUGAGGGACGAAAGCUAGGGGAGCGAAAGGGAUUAGAUACCCCCGUAGUCC